rnacentral:rRNA from 1 species
UCCCCUUUUUUAAGUAAAUCCACAUAACCGACCCUAUCGUGUUGACUUUGUGCGCAUUUUCGCUAUUACGUGUUUUUUUAAUUAAAAUGAUUCUUUUUAAAUCUCUAAUAUUUGCUUUUGCCUUUUUGGAGAUUUGUUACUUUGAGUAAAUUAGAGUGUUCAAAGCAAACAGAUAUAGCAUUUGUGCGUUUGAAUACUACAGCAUGGAAUAACAAAAUUGAACAAGUCAAAAUUUUUGUUCUUUUUUCUUAUUUUGGCUUAGUUACGAUUAAUAGGAGUAGCUUGGGGGCAUUUGUAUUCAGAUGUCAGAGGUGAAAUUCUUAGAUUUUCUGGAGACAAACAACUGCGAAAGCAUUUGCCUAAAAUACUUCCAUUAAUCAAGAACGAAAGUUAAGGGAGUGAAGACGAUCAGAUACCGUCGUAAUCUUAACCAUAAACUAUGCCGACUAGGCUUUGGAUGAAAGAUUCUAAAAUAAAAGUUUUCCUUUCCCUUCG